GCCCGUGUGGAUCAAAUAGGAUCGCGCCCUGGACUCACAAUCCAGAGGUUGCUGGUUCGAAUCCCGCGGCGGGCG
rnacentral:tRNA from 1 species